rnacentral:rRNA from 1 species
AACGAACGCUGGCGGCAUGCCUAACACAUGCAAGUCGAACGAGACCUUCGGGUCUAGUGGCGCACGGGUGCGUAACGCGUGGGAACCUGCCCUUAGGUUCGGUAUAACUCCCCGAAAGGGGUGCUAAUACCGGAUAAUGUCUUCGGACCAAAGAUUUAUCGCCUUUGGAUGGGCCCGCGUUGGAUUAGCUAGUUGGUAGGGUAAAAGCCUACCAAGGCGACGAUCCAUAGCUGGUCUGAGAGGAUGAUCAGCCACACUGGGACUGAGACACGGCCCAGACUCCUACGGGAGGCAGCAGUAGGGAAUAUUGGACAAUGGGCGAAAGCCUGAUCCAGCAAUGCCGCGUGAGUGAUGAAGGCCUUAGGGUUGUAAAGCUCUUUUACCCGGGAUGAUAAUGACAGUACCGGGAGAAUAAGCACCGGCUAACUCCGUG